GGAUAACUACUGGAAACGGUAGCUAAUACCGCAUAACGUCGCAAGACCAAAGAGGGGGACCUUCGGGCCUCUUGCCAUCAGAUGUGCCCAGAUGGGAUUAGCUAGUAGGUGGGGUAACGGCUCACCUAGGCGACGAUCCCUAGCUGGUCUGAGAGGAUGACCAGCCACACUGGAACUGAGACACGGUCCAGACUCCUACGGGAGGCAGCAGUGGGGAAUAUUGCACAAUGGGCGCAAGCCUGAUGCAGCCAUGCCGCGUGUAUGAAGAAGGCCUUCGGGUUGUAAAGUACUUUCAGCGGGGAGGAAGGUGUUGUGGUUAAUAACCGCAGCAAUUGACGUUACCCGCAGAAGAAGCACCGGCUAACUCC
rnacentral:rRNA from 1 species